CUCACUGAGGAGCAGAAACCAGCAGCUCAGCAGCUCACUGAGGAGAAAACAGGAGGAAACAAACCUUUUCUUGUGUUUUGAUGUUUUGGACUCGUCUGCAGUUAUGAGACUGAAGAUCAGCAGCAACUGAGAGAACAGAGAUGGACAAACAGAAAGUGCUCGCCAAGCUGAUCUGGGACCUGCAGUCCUUCCUGUCUGUUCUGGACUCAGAGAACCUGAGCUACAUCGCUCAGGCUCAGAAGAAAUCCAUCUCAGAGCUGCUGUCCAAGCUGCAGACACAAGACACUCCUGCGGUGGAAGAUGCUGAGUACAUGCUCAUGAGCUGCCUGUCAUCGUCUCCAGGCAACGAGCUGACAGACAUA